rnacentral:misc_RNA from 1 species
AUAAUGAUAAAAAAAAUUAUAGCAAUGAAAGAAAUAAACAAAAACAAGUAAUAAUGAUUACCUAUUUGUUUGUAAUUAAUGGUCAUUAUGCUAGUCAAUGUAUAAUUGAUAACACAUUAUAAUUGUCAUAUCAUUACAUUAAAUUUUUAUUGUGUAACCAAACAAAAUAGCGAAACAUAAUGUAAUCGUGGUUCCAAUACAAUUUCAAUUACGUCCUACUAAACAUAACCUUACGCUAUGUUUGUUAAGACAUAAUGCAAUCAAUCAUAUAAUGAAAUAAAUUAUAUAAUGUAAUGUAAUAUGCAAUGUACUGGAAUGGAAUGAUCAUUUUUAUUUCAAUAUUUAGUUUAUUUGUGGUGG